GGAAACGAGGGGAGUGCCCUUCGGGGAACCCGGUGACAGGUGCUGCAUGGCUGUCGUCAGCUCGUGUCGUGAGAUGUUGGGUUAAGUCCCGCAACGAGCGCAACCCUUGUCUUUAAUUGCCAUCAUUUAGUUGGGGCACUUUAAAGAGACUGCCGGUGUUAAGCCGGAGGAAGGUGGGGAUGACGUCAAGUCCUCAUGGCCUUUAUGCCCAGGGCCACACACGUGCUACAAUGGGCGGUACAAAGAGAAGCAACCUCGCGAGGGUGAGCAAAUCUCAAAAAGCCGUUCUCAGUUCGGAUUGAAGUCUGCAACUCGACUUCAUGAAGUCGGAAUCGCUAGUAAUCGCGGAUCAGCAUGCCGCGGUGAAUACCGGUUCCCGGGCCUU
rnacentral:rRNA from 1 species